rnacentral:rRNA from 1 species
GACGAACGCUGGCGGCGUGCCUAAUACAUGCAAGUCGAACGCUUUUUCUUUCACCGGAGCUUGCUCCACCGAAAGAAAAAGAGUGGCGAACGGGUGAGUAACACGUGGGUAACCUGCCCAUCAGAAGGGGAUAACACUUGGAAGCAGGUGCUAAUACCGUAUAACACUAUUUUCCGCAUGGAAGAAAGUUGAAAGGCGCUUUUGCGUCACUGAUGGAUGGACCCGCGGUGCAUUAGCUAGUUGGUGAGGUAACGGCUCACCAAGGCAACGAUGCAUAGCCGACCUGAGAGGGUGAUCGGCCACACUGGGACUGAGACACGGCCCAGACUCCUACGGGAGGCAGCAGUAGGGAAUCUUCGGCAAUGGACGAAAGUCUGACCGAGCAACGCCGCGUGAGUGAAGAAGGUUUUCGGAUCGUAAAACUCUGUUGUUAGAGAAGAACAAGGAUGAGAGUAGAACGUUCAUCCCUUGACGGUAUCUAACUAGAAAGCCACGGCUAACUACGUGCCAGCCGCCGCGGUAA